CACGUAGGGCGCGAGCGUUGUCCGGAAUUAUUGGGCGUAAAGAGCUCGUAGGCGGUGUGUCGCGUCGGCCGUGAAAACCUGGGGCUCAACUCUGGGCGUGCGGUCGAUACGGGCAUCACUUGAGUUCGGCAGGGGAGACUGGAAUUCCUGGUGUAGCGGUGAAAUGCGCAGAUAUCAGGAGGAACACCGGUGGCGAAGGCGGGUCUCUGGGCCGAUGACUGACGCUGAGGAGCGAAAGCAUGGGGAGCGAACAGG
rnacentral:rRNA from 1 species